AUUUAUCGGAACUUUCCAUGCUGUUUUUUUUGCAAACAAUUUUUCCAGUAUUUCUUUGUGUGUCAUCUUCCUGUUACCUCCCAAACAACUUUAAUGCUCUCUAUUCAGUUCAUGAAUCUAAAACAAAGAUAACAUUGAGGAAGCCUCGAGGUGGACGUCACUGACAUGGGAGCUAGUAUGCCACAUUGACAGCUGUUGCACUCAGCCUAUCACUGGUGAGAUUAGUAAAUGAGGAGUUAGUGAUAGGCUGAGUGCAUCAGCUGAUUACAUCAUCAGAAACCAUAAGGCAGAGUGGACGGGUGUAAUCUUCAAAACCUGGGGUUAAACAGUUUGUAACACUCUAACCCCUUUUGGUAAGAGAUUAAGUUACUAUGGUACCUGGAGUGUUCCUUUUAAGGAGAAUUUAACACCUAAAAUGACUUGAAAAGUCACCGAGAACACUUUGCUAACAAUCAAUUAACCAAUAUUCCAAAAUAUUUCUAUGUAUGUGUGGGAACAGAGUGAACACAACAAAUACUUCCACUGACUUAUCAAGUAAUGAAUUGAUGUUGAAUUUGCAUUUCUCGUAUUUGGAAAUGUUUGCCCACUUGCUUUUUCCUGGCACGAUGGCAGAAAUAUGCUAUGCUGAC